rnacentral:tRNA from 1 species
UAAAAAUUAGUUUAAAUAAAAUUUUUAGUUGUCAACUAAAGGAUAAUUUACUUAUUAUUAUUUUUUU